GAUGAACGCUGGCGGCGCGCCUAACACAUGCAAGUCGAACGGCACCCACCCUCGGGUGGAAGCGAGUGGCGAACGGCUGAGUAACACGUGGAGAACCCGCCCCCUCCUCCGGGAUAGCCUCGGGAAACCGUGGGUAAUACCGGAUGACCCCGCAGGGCCGCAUGGCCCCGCGGGCAAAGCCCAGACGGGAGGGGAUGGCUCCGCGGCCCAUCAGGUAGACGGCGGGGUGACGGCCCACCGUGCCGACGACGGGUAGCCGGGUUGAGAGACCGACCGGCCAGAUUGGGACUGAGACACGGCCCAGACUCCUACGGGAGGCAGCAGUGGGGAAUCUUGCGCAAUGGGGGGAACCCUGACGCAGCGACGCCGCGUGCGGGACGAAGGCCCUCGGGUCGUAAACCGCUUUCAGCAGGGAUGAGACAAGACG
rnacentral:rRNA from 1 species